UGCAGUCGAGCGAACAGAUAGGAGCUUGCUCCUUUGACGUUAGCGGCGGACGGGUGAGUAACACGUGGAUAACCUACCUAUAAGACUGGGAUAACUUCGGGAAACCGGAGGCGUAAUAACGAAUAACAUAUUAGAACCGGGGACAUGGACCAAUAGGGAAAUGGACGGAUUCGCAUGUCACCGGUUAUAAAUGGAUCCGCGCCGCAUAAAGUCCCCCUAAAUUGGUAAGGUAACGGCUUACCAAGGCAACGAUACGUAGCCGACCUGAGAGGGUGAUCGGCCACACUGGAACUGAGACACGGUCCAGACUCCUACGGGAGGCAGCAGUAGGGAAUCUUCCGCAAUGGGCGAAAGCCUGACGGAGCAACGCCGCGUGAGUGAUGAAAGUCUUCGGAUCGUAAAAAUCUGUUAUCAGGGAAGAAAAAAUGUGUAAGAAACUGUGCACAUCUUGACGGCUACCUGAUCAGAAAGCCACGGCUAACUACGUGCCAGCAGCCGCGGUAAUACGUAAGGUGCCAAGCGUUAUCCGGAAUUAUUGGGCGGAAAGCGCGCGUAGGCGGUGUUUUUAAGUCUGAUGUGAAAGCCCACGGCUCAACCCGUGGAGGGUCAUUGGAAAAGGGAAAACUGUGAGUGCAGAAGAGGAAGAGUGGAAUUCUCAUGUGUAGCGGUGAAAUGCGCAGAGAUAUGGAGGAACACCAGUGGCGAAGGCGACUUUCUGUGUCUGUAAACUGACGCUGAUGUGAGAAAGCGUGGGCAUCAAACAGGAUUAGAUACCCCGUGGUAGUACACGCCGUAAACGAUGAGUGCUAUAUGUGUGAGGGGGUCUCCGCCCCUUAGUGGCAGCAGAAAACGCAUUAAGCACAAUCUAGGAUUAAAGUUGGGCACUCUAAGAGGACAGCCGGUUAGAGAUUGGGCUACACACAUGUG
rnacentral:rRNA from 1 species